GCGCCCGUGGUGAAGCGGAAUCACGCGAGGCUUCCAUCCUCGAGUCGCCGGAUCGUCCCCGGCCGGGCGCU
rnacentral:tRNA from 1 species